rnacentral:miRNA from 1 species
UGACAGGAGAUAGAGAGCAC